rnacentral:rRNA from 1 species
AGCUAUACAUGCAGUCGAACGAUACCAUCUGGCUUGCCAGMUGGGAAAGUGGCGCACGGGUGCGUAACGCGUAUGCAACCUACCUUAAUCAGGGGGAUAGCCCGAAGAAAUUCGGAUUAACACCGCAUAAAAACACAGGAUAGCAUUAUCUAAUGUUCAAAUAUUUAUAGGAUUAAGAUGGGCAUGCGUGUCAUUAGCUAGUUGGCGGGGUAACGGCCCACCAAGGCGACGAUGACUAGGGGAUCUGAGAGGAUGACCCCCCACACUGGUACUGAGACACGGACCAGACUCCUACGGGAGGCAGCAGUAAGGAAUAUUGGUCAAUGGAGGGAACUCUGAACCAGCCAUGCCGCGUGCAGGAAGACGGCCCUCUGGGUUGUAAACUGCUUUUAUUCGGGAAUAAACCACAUUACGUGUAAUGUGCUGAAUGUACCGAAGGAAUAAGGAUCGGCUAACUCCGUGCCAGCAGCCGCGGUAAUACGGAGGAUCCAAGCGUUAUCCGGAUUUAUUGGGUUUAAAGGGUGCGUAGGCGGCUUAUUAAGUCAGGGGUGAAAGACGGUGGCUCAACCAUCGCAGUGCCCUUGAUACUGAUGAGCUUGAAUGGACUAGAGGUAGGCGGAAUGUGACAAGUAGCGGUGAAAUGCAUAGAUAUGUCACAGAACACCGAUUGCGAAGGCAGCUUACUAUGGUUUUAUUGACGCUGAGGCACGAAAGCGUGGGGAUCAAACAGGAUUAGAUACCCUGGUAGUCCACGCCCUAAACGAUGAAUACUCGCUGUUAGCGAUAUACAGUUAGCGGCUAAGCGAAAGCGUUAAGUAUUCCACCUGGGGAGUACGCCCGCAGGGUGAAACUCAAAGGAAUUGACGGGGCCCGCACAGCGGAGAGCAUGUGUUAAUCGAUGAUACGCGA